GGGAUAACUAUUGGAAACGAUAGCUAAUACCGCAUAAAAGUCGACAUUGCAUGAUGUUGAUUUGAAAGGUGCAAUUGCAUCACUAAGAGAUGGACCUGCGUUGUAUUAGCUAGUUAGUGAGGUAACGGCUCACCAAGGCGACGAUACAUAGCCGACCUGAGAGGGUGAUCGGCCACACUGGGACUGAGACACAGCCCAGACUCCUACGGGAGGCAGCAGUAGGGAAUCUUCGGCAAUGGGGGCAACCCUGACCGAGCAACGCCGCGUGAGUGAAGAAGGUUUUCGGAUCGUAAAGCUCUGUUUGUAAGAGAAGAACGAGUGUGAGAGAGGAAAGUUCACACUGUGACGGUAACUUACCAGAAAGGGACGGCUAACUACGCGCCAGCAGCCGCGGUAAUACGUAGGUCCCGAGCGUUAUCCGGAUUUAUUGGGCGUAAAGCGAGCGCAGGCGGUUAGAUAAGUCUGAAGUUAAAGGCUGUGGCUUAACCAUAGUACGCUUUGGAAACUGUUUAACUUGAGUGCAGAAGGGGAGAGUGGAAUUCCAUGUGUAGCGGUGAAAUGCGUAGAUAUAUGGAGGAACACCGGUGGCGAAAGCGGCUCUCUGGUCCUGUAACUGACGCUGAGGCGUCGAAAGCGUGGGGAG
rnacentral:rRNA from 1 species